AUUGAACGCUGGCGGCAGGCCUAACACAUGCAAGUCGAGCGGAUGAAGGGAGCUUGCUCCUGGAUUCAGCGUCGGACGGGUGAGUAAUGCCUAGGAAUCUGCCUGGUAGUGGGGGAUAACGUCCGGAAACGGGCGCUAAUACCGCAUACGUCCUGAGGGAGAAAGUUGGGGAUCUUCGGACCUCACGCUAUCAGAUGAGCCUAGGUCGGAUUAGCUAGCUGGUGGGGUAAAGGCCUACCAAGGCGACGAUCCGUAACUGGUCUGAGAGGAUGGUCAGUCACACUGGAAGUGAGACACGGACAAGACUCCUACGGGAGGCAGCAGUGGGGAAUAUUAGACAAUGGGGGAGAGCCUGGUCCAGCCAUGGCGCGCGUGUGAAGGAGGUCUUCGGAGUGUAAAGAACUUUAAGUUGGGAGAAAGGGCAGUAAGUUAAUACCUUGCUGUAUUGACGUUACCGAGAGAAUAAGCACCGGCUAGCUUCGUG
rnacentral:rRNA from 1 species